GGGUUGUGAGGUUAAGCGACUAAGCGUACACGGUGGAUGCCCUGGCAGUCAGAGGCGAUGAAGGACGUGCUAAUCUGCGAUAAGCGUCGGUAAGGUGAUAUGAACCGUUAUAACCGGCGAUUUCCGAAUGGGGAAACCCAGUGUGUUUCGACACACUAUCAUUAACUGAAUCCAUAGGUUAAUGAGGCGAACCGGGGGAACUGAAACAUCUAAGUACCCCGAGGAAAAGAAAUCAACCGAGAUUCCCCCAGUAGCGGCGAGCGAACGGGGAGCAGCCCAGAGCCUGAAUCAGUGUGUGUGUUAGUGGAAGCGUCUGGAAAGGCGCGCGAUACAGGGUGACAGCCCCGUACACAAAAAUGCACAUGCUGUGAGCUCGAUGAGUAGGGCGGGACACGUGGUAUCCUGUCUGAAUAUGGGGGGACCAUCCUCCAAGGCUAAAUACUCCUGACUGACCGAUAGUGAACCAGUACCGUGAGGGAAAGGCGAAAAGAACCCCGGCGAGGGGAGUGAAAAAGAACCUGAAACCGUGUACGUACAAGCAGUGGGAGCACGCUUAGGCGUGUGACUGCGUACCUUUUGUAUAAUGGGUCAGCGACUUAUAUUCUGUAGCAAGGUUAACCGAAUAGGGGAGCCGAAGGGAAACCGAGUCUUAACUGGGCGUUAAGUUGCAGGGUAUAGACCCGAAACCCGGUGAUCUAGCCAUGGGCAGGUUGAAGGUUGGGUAACACUAACUGGAGGACCGAACCGACUAAUGUUGAAAAAUUAGCGGAUGACUUGUGGCUGGGGGUGAAAGGCCAAUCAAACCGGGAGAUAGCUGGUUCUCCCCGAAAGCUAUUUAGGUAGCGCCUCGUGAAUUCAUCUCCGGGGGUAGAGCACUGUUUCGGCAAGGGGGUCAUCCCGACUUACCAACCCGAUGCAAACUGCGAAUACCGGAGAAUGUUAUCACGGGAGACACACGGCGGGUGCUAACGUCCGUCGUGAAGAGGGAAACAACCCAGACCGCCAGCUAAGGUCCCAAAGUCAUGGUUAAGUGGGAAACGAUGUGGGAAGGCCCAGACAGCCAGGAUGUUGGCUUAGAAGCAGCCAUCAUUUAAAGAAAGCGUAAUAGCUCACUGGUCGAGUCGGCCUGCGCGGAAGAUGUAACGGGGCUAAACCAUGCACCGAAGCUGCGGCAGCGACGCUUAUGUGUUGUUGGGUAGGGGAGCGUUCUGUAAGCCUGUGAAGGUGUACUGUGAGGUAUGCUGG
rnacentral:rRNA from 1 species